UAAAAUUCCCCAAGAUUGUUAUGGCCCG
rnacentral:piRNA from 1 species